AUUGAACGCUGGCGGCAGGCCUAACACAUGCAAGUCGAACGAGGGGCGGACGGGUGAGAAAUGUCUGGGAACCUGCCUGAUGGGGGGGGAUAACUACUGGAAACGGUAGCUAAUACCGCAUACCAUCAAAUGUGCCCAGAUGUGAUUAGCUAGUUGGUGGGGUAACGGCUCACCAGGGCGACGAUCCCUAGCUGGGCUGAGAGGAUGACCAGCCACACUGGAACUGAGACACGGUCCAGACUCCUACGGGAGGCAGCAGUGGGGAAUAUUGCACAAUGGGCGCAAGCCUGAUGCAGCCAUGCCGCGUGUAUGAAGAAGGCCUUCGGGUUGUAAAGUACUUUCAGCGGGGAGGCGUUACCCGCAGAAGAAGCAACGGCUAACUCCGUGCCAGCAGCCGCGGUAAUAC
rnacentral:rRNA from 1 species